rnacentral:tRNA from 2 species
GGCAGUGUGAUGAAAUUGGUAGACAUGAGUGAUUCAAAAUCACUUGCCUUCGGGCGUGCCGGUUCGAGUCCGGCCACUGCUACCA